ensembl:lncRNA
UCUAUCUCACUACUCCUACAACAGAACCAAAAAGCCUGUAUCUUUCUUCUAUAAAGGAUCUCCAUCUAUUGGACCACAAUCUCAACACACUGAGGCUAUUGGAGAUCAUUAGUGCAGACAGCUGUGACCCAAGCAACCUGUCCUCCUGCCUAGAUUUGAAGGUCUGUCUUUUGUUAUCUUUAUUGCCACUUUGAACGACGGAUUUUUAUUUUUAUCUCCUUUGUAUCACAUUUUUUAUUAUAGAUCACAUUCUUGGAGUUUUUUGAGGUUCUGUUGAACUGCGCAGAAAUUAAAUGUCAGGAAGAAGAGGACCAACCCCAGACCAAAUCUGACACCAAGACCUGGAGUUACCCCCUGGAGGUGGAUACCAGUGAGAAAAUUACAAUGGACAGCACCUCCCAAUCAGCUGGGAAUAGCAGUGCUCAGGAGGUUGGCACUCAACAAGAAGUCGAUGCCAAAGAAGAUCCUCGAGCUGCAGAGCACACUGGUGUACGUAACAACAGAAUGGAGUCCAAAGACUGUGACAUGGAACUUCGGACAAAAACUAUUCAUCAAUUCUUGAACAAUCUUUUCUUCCCAGCAUUUGAACAUUAUCAGUUAGUGACCAGAAACAUGAUGGAGGAGAAACUCAAAAAGGAAUGCUAGAGACACAGGAAUUCUAAACAAGAUUGUGGUCAGGAUAGUACGUAGUACUGUAUUUCAAAAUUUAAGCAAUACUAAACACUAAGGAUGGUCCUCUGACACCCGAAGCUCCGACACAUGCGCGGUAGCUCAUGAAGCGAUUGUUUUGAACCACUGUGCCGAGGCUUGCUUCGUACACAUGACUAGUGAACCAGGUUGAACCAGUUGAUUGCUUCGAACGGCAC